rnacentral:rRNA from 2 species
UUAAUUUGAGAGUUUGAUCCUGGCUCAGGACGAACGCUGGCGGCGUGCCUAAUACAUGCAAGUCGAACGAACUCUGGUAUUGAUUGGUGCUUGCAUCAUGAUUUACAUUUGAGUGAGUGGCGAACUGGUGAGUAACACGUGGGAAACCUGCCCAGAAGCGGGGGAUAACACCUGGAAACAGAUGCUAAUACCGCAUAACAACUUGGACCGCAUGGUCCGAGUUUGAAAGAUGGCUUCGGCUAUCACUUUUGGAUGGUCCCGCGGCGUAUUAGCUAGAUGGUGGGGUAACGGCUCACCAUGGCAAUGAUACGUAGCCGACCUGAGAGGGUAAUCGGCCACAUUGGGACUGAGACACGGCCCAAACUCCUACGGGAGGCAGCAGUAGGGAAUCUUCCACAAUGGACGAAAGUCUGAUGGAGCAACGCCGCGUGAGUGAAGAAGGGUUUCGGCUCGUAAAACUCUGUUGUUAAAGAAGAACAUAUCUGAGAGUAACUGUUCAGGUAUUGACGGUAUUUAACCAGAAAGCCACGGCUAACUACGUGCCAGCAGCCGCGGUAAUACGUAGGUGGCAAGCGUUGUCCGGAUUUAUUGGGCGUAAAGCGAGCGCAGGCGGUUUUUUAAGUCUGAUGUGAAAGCCUUCGGCUCAACCGAAGAAGUGCAUCGGAAACUGGGAAACUUGAGUGCAGAAGAGGACAGUGGAACUCCAUGUGUAGCGGUGAAAUGCGUAGAUAUAUGGAAGAACACCAGUGGCGAAGGCGGCUGUCUGGUCUGUAACUGACGCUGAGGCUCGAAAGUAUGGGUAGCAAACAGGAUUAGAUACCCUGGUAGUCCAUACCGUAAACGAUGAAUGCUAAGUGUUGGAGGGUUUCCGCCCUUCAGUGCUGCAGCUAACGCAUUAAGCAUUCCGCCUGGGGAGUACGGCCGCAAGGCUGAAACUCAAAGGAAUUGACGGGGGCCCGCACAAGCGGUGGAGCAUGUGGUUUAAUUCGAAGCUACGCGAAGAACCUUACCAGGUCUUGACAUACUAUGCAAAUCUAAGAGAUUAGACGUUCCCUUCGGGGACAUGGAUACAGGUGGUGCAUGGUUGUCGUCAGCUCGUGUCGUGAGAUGUUGGGUUAAGUCCCGCAACGAGCGCAACCCUUAUUAUCAGUUGCCAGCAUUAAGUUGGGCACUCUGGUGAGACUGCCGGUGACAAACCGGAGGAAGGUGGGGAUGACGUCAAAUCAUCAUGCCCCUUAUGACCUGGGCUACACACGUGCUACAAUGGAUGGUACAACGAGUUGCGAACUCGCGAGAGUAAGCUAAUCUCUUAAAGCCAUUCUCAGUUCGGAUUGUAGGCUGCAACUCGCCUACAUGAAGUCGGAAUCGCUAGUAAUCGCGGAUCAGCAUGCCGCGGUGAAUACGUUCCCGGGCCUUGUACACACCGCCCGUCACACCAUGAGAGUUUGUAACACCCAAAGUCGGUGGGGUAACCUUUUAGGAACCAGCCGCCUAAGGUGGGACAGAUGAUUAGGGUGAAGUCGUAACAAGGUAGCCGUAGGAGAACCUGCGGCUGGAUCACCUCCUUUCUAAGGAAUAUUACGGAA